UAGUAUUGUUAUUUUUAUGACGAUAUUUGAUAUUUGGUCAUACAAGGUUUAAUACAUAUUAUGGAAAAAUUCUAUAUGGCUACAAAUAAUAUUAUAUAUUUUAUGGCAAAGUUUAUUUUUAGACAUAAAUAGUUAUGUGUAAUUUGUGGCAAAAUUUAAUUUUGGUCACUUUAAAGUUUUCAGGUUUUAUUAUUAUUAUAUAACAAAUUAUGACUAUUUAUUAUUUGGCCACAGAAGUUUUGCAAUGUACUAUUUAAUGUUUUACAUUUGUAAUCGAAAAAAAAAUUUUACACAUAAUCACCAUAUCAUAACUAUUUAAUACUCCUCAAUCAGUAUUUAAACAAACUAUUAAUCAUAACAAUUAAGAUAUAUUUACUAAAAUGUAUAAAGUAGUUCAAUUAGCACAACUAAAAUGAAUCUACUC
rnacentral:lncRNA from 1 species